rnacentral:rRNA from 1 species
GAUCAUGGCUCAGGACGAACGCUGGCGGCGCGCCUAACACAUGCAAGUCGAACGGAGUCAAGAGGAGCUUGCUUUUCUUGACUUAGUGGCGAACGGGUGAGUAACGCGUGAGUAACCUGCCCUGGAGUGGGGGACAACAGUUGGAAACGACUGCUAAUACCGCAUAAGCGCACAGGACCGCAUGGUCCGGUGUGAAAAACUCCGGUGGUGUGAGAUGGACCCGCGUUUGAUUAGCUAGUUGGUGGGGUAACGG